CCCGGUCCCCCGCCGGCCGCGCCCAACUCUUACUUCUGCAAAGCGGACUGCACGCUCUGAUUGCAACUUGAAAAAAACAAGUCAAAACUUUCAACAACGGAUCUCUUGGUUCUGGCAUCGAUGAAGAACGCAGCGAAAUGCGAUAAGUAAUGUGAAUUGCAGAAUUCAGUGAAUCAUCGAAUCUUUGAACGCACAUUGCGCCCGGCAGCAAUCUGCCGGGCAUGCCUGUCCGAGCGUCAUUUCUGCCCUCGAGCAGCGGUUCCCACCACCCCUCCUUUCAGGGGGUGUGCUGGGCCCCGCCGCCCGGUGUUGGGGCGCUGCGGGCCGCUCGAGCCCGCAGGCCCCGAAAUGAAGUGGCGGUCCCGCCGCGGCGCCCCCUGCGUAGUAAGUCUCAGGACCUCGCAUCGGGCCCCGGCGCCGGCCAGCCGUCGAACCUGUCUCAACGAUGGUUUGACCUCGGAUCAGGUAGGGUUACCCGCUGAACUUAAGCAUAUCAAUAA
rnacentral:sRNA from 1 species